AUUUGAAGAGGCUGGGUCUUGUAAUCCUUUUUGCAUUUGAAGUAUGAUUUAUAUGAACAGCUGAUUAUUCAAAUCUCUAACUACCAGCUUCUUCCCUGCAAUCAAGUAUUUAGAGUUUUAUCCUGGAUUCAUAUUUUCAGCUCAAGCGUGGGCACAAACUGAACACAAAAUGGACAAGCCCCUGUACAAAAACAUAACUCUAAGGGAAUGGAUAAUGGGAUGAAGAUGAUGAGAUGAAAAGAGAUAAUGGGACAAAAAGAGAGUGAACUUUCAUUUUCUUCUGUUCUUCCUCAGGCACACAUCUCUGCAUUUACAGCUCAAGCAGUGCAUCCACAUUCUGGACAUGUUGGACUUUUCAGCUCUCUAAAGAAUGCUAUGAGAGUGCCCUCGAUACACAAGCUGCCUAGCUGCCCUUGGGAAAGGCUCUCUGUGCAGUUGCUUCAAGCUCUGUGCAAAUGAAGCUGCAGAAGGUACCAGCAACAGGUCUGGGAAGGAUCAGGGGACCCAAGUAUUGUGGCCAUCCCCAGUGUUGCAGGUUUGGGCAAGGCUUGAGCAUGCAGGGUUGUAGAGAGACUACAUUCAUCAUCUGGUUCCAGUGGAUUUGGUGCAAAUUUCUGUGUAAAACAACACGUUCACAGGAAGACUACAUCCUCCCCCUUUACAGGGAGAAUGACUUCCUAAAAAGAAAAGGAGCAGGUGACCUUCAAUACCUCUGCUAAUUUCACUUCUCUGUUUGCUGGAUGGGCAUUUCUAUGGUACAGAAUAAUCUAGUCUAGUUUAUUAAGUCCUGCUGUCAUUCACGAUGUUCAAGUUCACAUCCUGUUACAAAGCAGAAUUGAUUGUAUUGUUGUAUUUGUGUCUUUUAAGAGGAAAGCUAUUAAAUUUGUUAGGCUUACAGCUCAAAGACACUGCAAUGAACAAGAGAAUCAGUUCAUCCAUAUCAGUAUUCUGAUUUAAAUUAUUCAGUUUGACAACAAUUUAGGCUGCUGCUGUGCUGUCCUUUGAUCAAUACUGUCUCACUGCUCUCUUUUUCUACUCCCAUCUUCUAUUUUCAUCUUUUGCUCUUAGUUUUCCACUUGGAUUGUAAAGUCCUUGAAUCACGAUCGUUACUUUGUUCUUUGUAAAGUGCCUAGAGAAAUUCAGUCCUGGCCUGUAACUAGUGUGCCCAAAUGGUGUAAUAAAUGUGUCGCAAUUACUACUGAUGCUGCAGUUGUUUUUGUA